rnacentral:rRNA from 1 species
CCUACGGGAGGCAGCAGUGGGGAAUAUUGCACAAUGGGGGAAACCCUGAUGCAGCGACGCCGCGUGAGUGAAGAAGUAAUUCGUUACGUAAAGCUCUAUCAGCAGGGAAGAAAAUGACGGUAACUGAGUAAGAAGCCCCGGCUAACUACGUGCCAGCAGCCGCGGUAAUAAGUAGGGGGCAAGCGGUAGCCGGAUUUACUGGGUGUAAAGGGAGCGUAGACGGUGCGGCAGGUAUGGAGUGAAAUGCCGCAGGUUAACUGUGAAACUGCUUUGGAAACUGGCGAACUAGAGUGCAGGAGGGGUAAGCGGAAUUCCAAGUGUAGCGGUGAAAUGCGUAGAUAUAAGGAGGAACACCGGUGGCGAAGGCGGCUUACUGGACCGUAACUGACGUUGAGGCUCGAAAGCGUGGGGAGCAAACAGGAUUAGAUACCCGUGUAGUC